UACGGAGGGUGCAAGCGUUGUCCGGAUUUAUUGGGUUUAAAGGGUGCGUAGGCGGCUAAUUAAGUCAGCGGUGAAAUUCCACAGCUUAACUGUGGAACUGCCAUUGAUACUGGUUGGCUUGAGUACAGAUGAGGUAGGCGGAAUUGACAGUGUAGCGGUGAAAUGCUUAGAUAUUGUCAAGAACACCUAUUGCGAAGGCAGCUUACUAAGCUGUAACUGACGCUGAGGCACGAAAAGCGUGGGGGAUCAAAACAGG
rnacentral:rRNA from 1 species